CCUACGGGAGGCAGCAGUGAGGAAUAUUGGUCAAUGGACGAGAGUCUGAACCAGCCAAGUAGCGUGAAGGAUGACUGCCCUAUGGGUUGUAAACUUCUUUUAUAUGGGAAUAAACUGUUCCACGUGUGGGAUUUUGUAUGUACCAUAUGAAUAAGGAUCGGCUAACUCCGUGCCAGCAGCCGCGGUAAUACGGAGGAUCCGAGCGUUAUCCGGAUUUAUUGGGUUUAAAGGGAGCGUAGGUGGAUUGUUAAGUCAGUUGUGAAAGUUUGCGGCUCAACAGUAAAAUUGCAGUUGAAACUGGCAGUCUUGAGUACAGUAGAGGUGGGCGGAAUUCGGGGUGUAGCGGUGAAAUGCUUAGAUAUCACGAAGAACUCCGAUUGCGAAGGCAGUUCACUGGACUGCAACUGACACUGAGGCUCGAAAGUGUGGGUAUCAAACAGGAUUAGAUACCCCGGUAGUC
rnacentral:rRNA from 1 species